UACGGGGGGGCAAGCGUGUUCGGAAUUACUGGGCGUAAAGGGCUCGUAGGCGGCCAACUAAGUCAGACGUGAAAUCCCUCGGCUUAACCGGGGAACUGCGUCUGAUACUGGAUGGCUUGAGUUUGGGAGAGGGAUGCGGAAUUCCUGGUGUAGCGGUGAAAUGCGUAGAUAUCUGGAGGAACACCGGUGGCGAAGGCGGCGUCCUGGACCAACACUGACACUGAUGAGCGAAAGCCAGGGGAGCAAACGGG
rnacentral:rRNA from 1 species